GAUGAAGAACGUAGCGAAAUGCGAUACGUAAUGUGAAUUGCAGAAUUCAGUGAAUCAUCGAAUCUUUGAACGCACAUUGCGCCCCUUGGUAUUCCAUGGGGCAUGCCUGUUCGAGCGUCAUUUGUACCUUCAAGCUCUGCUUGGUGUUGGGUGUUUGUCCUUGCUCUAGUGGCGGGACUCGCCUUAAAGUAAUUGGCAGCCAGUGUUUUGGUUUUGAAGCGCAGCACAAGUCGCGAUUCAAGUCUAUACGCUAGUUUCCACAAGUCUUUUAUCACUUUUGACCUCGGAUCAGGUAGGGAUACCCGCUGAACUUAAGCAUAUCAAUAAGCGGAGGA
rnacentral:misc_RNA from 1 species